AACGAACGCUGGCGGCAGGCUUAACACAUGCAAGUCGAGCGCCUCGCAAGAGGAGCGGCAGACGGGUGAGUAACGCGUGGGAAUCUACCGUGCCCUAAGGAAUAGCUCCGGGAAACUGGAAUUAAUACCUUAUACGCCCUUCGGGGGAAAGAUUUAUCGGGGUAUGAUGAGCCCGCGUUGGAUUAGCUAGUUGGUGGGGUAAAGGCCUACCAAGGCGACGAUCCAUAGCUGGUCUGAGAGGAUGAUCAGCCACAUUGGGACUGAGACACGGCCCAAACUCCUACGGGAGGCAGCAGUGGGGAAUAUUGGACAAUGGGCGCAAGCCUGAUCCAGCCAUGCCGCGUGAGUGAUGAAGGCCCUAGGGUUGUAAAGCUCUUUCACCGGUGAAGAUAAUGACGGUAACCGGAGAAGAAGCCCCGGCUAACUUCGUG
rnacentral:rRNA from 1 species